rnacentral:rRNA from 1 species
GCUGGCAGCUAGCUCUCUGCAACUCUUAAAUGGUCGCCCAAUGAAGCUAAGCAGGGCUGCGCCCGGUCAGUACCUGGUUUGGAGACCACAUGGGAAAGCUAGGUUGCAGCCGGAU